CCCAUUGUAGCUAGUCUCGCGUGGGCGCGACAGCUGCCACCCGGGACGCGGGUGUGCAUCGUGUGCAGUAUAGAUUUUUCCCAUCUUUCUUUCAAAAUGUCAGGUGUUUUAUUUAUCAUGAUGUUAGCUUCUUAAAUUGCUGCUACUAGGACAUCUAUUCUUAAAUAGUUUGCUUAUAAAGUUUCCUAGUCAUUCGGAACCAACUGCAAUAUAUUAAUGCACAUAGUACUCUGCUCAUGUGUACAUCUUUCUUUAAAUGUUAGGUUAACAUGGAAAGUGCUAUGGAGCAAGAGGUACCUGAAGGUGGAGAACCAAAGAGUGAUGUUGUUGUUGUUGCUGACCUUUUCUCACUAAAGAAUGUCCCUCCAGCACAUUCCCUCACUGGUUGUGUUAUUUUUGUUGGUGCCAUCUUAUGUUACUGGUUCCUAGUGCACAUUAUGGACAUGUGCCAUCUUAUGAACAUGGGUAAUGAUACUAAGCUACUGGUUGUGUUAUUUUGGUUGGUACAUCUUAUGAACCUGUGGUGUAAUGAUACUGCGGAGCCUAACUUAUUGAAAUCCUGGAGAAUUAUAUUAUUAUGAUCAUUAUAUUUCUUGUGUUGGCUGACUGCCAAAUUGUGCAAUAUUUUUCUUUUUGAGAUAUUGUUGGUUGUUGUUGGUCACCGUUCAAUAAGGGCUGGACUGAAAAUACUAAAUUGUGUGAGUGGGCUGGACCGUUUUAAGGCCCUUUUUUGACAAAUAAAUCAAAAUGUUUUUGUUGGGUAGAUAAAAGGGCUGGCCCAAUUAAUGAUGGAUUAAAUAAAUGAGUUGCACGACUCAACCCAAGAACUAAUCUGUUGGGCUUGGCCCAUGCUUGUGGCCCAAGAGUAAAUCCAAAAGUAGGCUGAAUUAUUGGGCUCAGCCCAUUAAAACAACUGAUUUGGAUCGAUCCUACAUGGCAUCCACGUCAUUGCAUGUGCUACGUUGGCUCAGCCAUAUCAGAUCCUACGUGGUCUAGGCUCAUUAGAGCAUGGUUAAUAGUAUAGCCAGCUGCUAGCUAUAAGCCAGUGUCAUGUCAUUUACAGUCUAUCUUAUAGUCAACAUGUACAAUAGUAGAUCAAAAGAGUGUACUACUCUUUUAUUAUGUGGCCCACCUUUCAUUCUCACAAAGUGCCUAGGAGCACGUGCUAGAGCUGGCUCUUCAUGAAGAGGUCGCUUACCUUCUCUCUCCCCUCUUUUCUUUCCUCCAACUAAGCAGAAAUAUACUAGUUUAUUCCUUGCUCAACUCUAUUGUACUUACUUGCUCUUAGUAAUGACCAUAAUUUUGGUCAAAGAUUUAACGACAAAUUUUUUGGUCAACUGUUGACCUUUGAAUUUGGUCAAAAAAGGUCAAUAAACAAAAGCAUUGUUCGUUCUUGACGGCCAACUAUUGACCUUCCGAAUUUGGUAAAAAAAAGGUCAAUAAACAAAAGCAAUGACAAAUUAACGACCAAAAUGGGGAGUCAUAAUUGAUCGUAUUUCUUGUAGUGGAAUAACAGGGGGUGUGGGUGAGUAGAGGGAUGCCCUGGCCAGCGGUGGGAGUAGUAGGGGGUGGUGAGGCCUGCACGGCAGCACAGCCGGCCACGGAAGGCGGAAGCAGGCGGUCCCGCCGGCGCUGGAGUUGGCGGCUGGAGCAAGAAGAUCAGAGAUUGAAGAAACAUAACGGCCGUUGGAUUGACAUCCAAUGGUUACGUCUGCUAGAAUCGUUUGUUGACGUAUAUAAUAACUAAAAAAAUCUUGCAUACACAUCAACUUAAUAGGCCCACAAGUCAGACCAUUCCCUUUUUUAAAUAAUUUAUAUAUAGCUCAUUGCAACUUCUUAUGCAAUUUAUUGCAGUCCAUUUUUUUGGCUGGCUAGGGCCAGGGUUAAAAAUUUAAAGGAAAUUUCACAUAUUUCUGUGGGUUCCAAACUAUUUGUAAUACCGAAAUGUCGAGCCAGAUUUAAAGUACUUUGAAGAUAUAUUUAAAUUAGGUUAAAGCCCAGUGAAAUAGGAAUCUGAAAAUGUGAAAAAUUCAGAAAUUAUAAAGUAAUUGCCAAUUUGUCAUCUGUUUUUAUAUUUACAACCCAUUUCAUAUUACUUUCAAGAUUUGUAGGCGUUUUGAAAGAGUUGCAGCAAAUCAGGGCAUAGAAAAAUAAAUAGGCCUGGAUUGGGUAUUCUUUAGAAAAAAUAAUCUGGGCUCAUUUUCACAAAGAGAAAUAGCUGGGCUGGUCAAAUGGUGAACAUAAAAUAUAAGCCUGGGCUAGACGGGCCACAUCCCAGUUCAAACCCUGAUCCGUCUCAACAAUAACAAAAAAAUACUGCUCGACCAGCUACUUCCCAGGUGUCAGCUAAUCUUGUGUUGUUCUCUUGUCUAUUGACUAUAUAUGCUCACAAUGUCGUGGGUCCCAGAUGUUAGGAAAACACUAGGAGAAAGCAUUUUAUUUUUCCAUACGCUGACAUGGUGGGCCU
rnacentral:lncRNA from 1 species